rnacentral:rRNA from 1 species
AGCAGCCGCGGUAAUUCCAGCUCCAAUAGCGUAUAUUAAAGUUGUUGCAGUUAAAAAGCUCGUAGUUGAAUUUCGGGAUUGACACAUCGGUCGUGCCUUAAGGGGUAUGAACUGGUGUAGUCAAUUUCUCACCUUCUGGAGAACCGCGAUGCCCUUAAUUGGGUGUCACGGGGAACCAGGACCUUUACUUUGAAAAAUUAGAGUGUUUAAAGCAGGCAUUUUGCUUGAAUACAUUAGCAUGGAAUAAUAAAAUAGGACGGCAUGAUUCUAUUUUGUUGGUUUCUAGGAUCACCGUAAUGAUUAAUAGGGAUAGUUGGGGGCAUUAGUAUUCAAUUGUCAGAGGUGAAAUUCUUGGAUUUAUUGAAG